CCUACGGGUGGCAGCAGUGAGGAAUAUUGGUCAAUGGGCGAGAGCCUGAACCAGCCAAGUCGCGUGAGGGAGUACUGCCCUAUGGGUUGUAAACCUCUUUUGUCGGGGAGCAAAAGCCGGACGUGUCCGGCUGUGAGAGUACCCGAAUAAAAAGCAUCGGAGAACUCCGUGCCAGCAGCAGCGGUAAUACGGAGGAUGCGAGCGUUAUCCGGAUUUAUUGGGGUUAAAGGGUGCGCAGGCGGAUUUUUAAGUCAGCGGUCAAAUCGUGGGGCUCAACCCCAUCCAGCCGUUGACACUGGGGAUCUAGAGUGUGCGAGAGGUAUGCGGAAUGCGUGGUGUAGCGGUGAAAUGCAUAGAUAUCACGCAGAACCCCGAUUGCGAAGGCAGCAUACCGGUGCACAACUGACGCUCAGGCACGAAAGCGUGGGUAUCGAACAGGAUUAGAUACCCUGGUAGUC
rnacentral:rRNA from 1 species